rnacentral:rRNA from 1 species
GUCGAACGAGAGAGAGGAAGCUUGCUUCCUCAAUCGAGUGGCGAACGGGUGAGUAUCGCGUGAGGAACCUGCCUCAAAGAGGGGGACAACAGUUGGAAACGACUGCUAAUACCGCAUAAGCCCACAGCUCGGCAUCGAGCAGAGGGAAAAGGAGCAAUCCGCUUUGAGAUGGCCUCGCGUCCGAUUAGCUAGUUGGUGAGGUAACGGCCCACCAAGGCGACGAUCGGUAGCCGGACUGAGAGGUUGAACGGCCACAUUGGGACUGAGACACGGCCCAGACUCCUACGGGAGGCAGCAGUGGGGAAUAUUGCACAAUGGGGGAAACCCUGAUGCAGCGACGCCGCGUGGAGGAAGAAGGUCUUCGGAUUGUAAACUCCUGUUGUUGAGGAAGAUAAUGACGGUACUCAACAAGGAAGUGACGGCUAACUACGUGCCAGCAGCCGCGGUAAAACGUAGGUCACAAGCGUUGUCCGGAAUUACUGGGUGUAAAGGGAGCGCAGGCGGGCGAUCAAGUUGGAAGUGAAAUCCAUGGGCUCAACCCAUGAACUGCUUUCAAAACUGGUCGUCUUGAGUAGUGCAGAGGUAGGCGGAAUUCCCGGUGUAGCGGUGGAAUGCGUAGAUAUCGGGAGGAACACCAGUGGCGAAGGCGGCCUACUGGGCACCAACUGACGCUGAGGCUCGAAAGUGUGGGUAGCAAACAGGAUUAGAUACCCUGGUAGUCCACACCGUAAACGAUGAUUACUAGGUGUUGGGAGAUUGACCCUCUCAGUGCCGCAGUUAACACAAUAAGU